UGACCUCAAAUCAGGUAGGACUACCCCGCUGAACUUAAGCAUAUCAAUAAGCGGAGGAAAAGAAACUAACAAGGAUUCCCCUAGUAACUGCGAGUGAAGCGGGAAAAGCUCAA
rnacentral:rRNA from 1 species